CCCUUAGAUGUUCUGGGCUGCACGCGCGCUACACUGAAGCGUUCAACGAGUAUUCACCUUGCCCGGGAGGGUUGGGUAAUCUUUUGAAAACGCUUCGUGAUGGGGAUAGAUUAUUGCAAUUAUUAAUCUUCAACGAGGAAUUCCUAGUAAGCGCGAGUCAUCAGCUCGUGCUGAUUACGUCCCUGCCCUUUGUACACACCGCCCGUCGCACCUACCGAUUGAAUGUUUCGGUGAAGAUUCCGGAUAGGACUUUUUUGAUUUAUUUCAAUUCUGUCUUAAAAGCUAUCUAAACCUCAACAUUUAGAGGAAGGUGAAGUCGUAACA
rnacentral:rRNA from 1 species